GCGGGGGUUGCCAAGCCUGGUCAACGGCGCAGGGCUUAGGACCCUGUCCCGAAGGGGUUCGUGGGUUCAAAUCCCACCCCCCGCA
rnacentral:tRNA from 2 species